CAGCAGUAGCCGCGGUAAUACGGAGGGGGCUAGCGUUGUUCGGAAUUACUGGGCGUAAAGCGUACGUAGGCGGCUUUGUAAGUUAGAGGUGAAAGCCUGGUGCUCAACACCAGAACUGCCUUUAAGACUGCAUCGCUUGAACGUCGGAGAGGUGAGUGGAAUUCCGAGUGUAGAGGUGAAAUUCGUAGAUAUUCGGAAGAACACCAGUGGCGAAGGCGGCUCACUGGACGACUGUUGACGCUGAGGUACGAAAGCGUGGGGAGCAAACAGGAUUAGAUACCCCGGUAGUCCCUGUCUCUUAUAC
rnacentral:rRNA from 1 species